rnacentral:rRNA from 1 species
CACGUAGGGCGCAAGCGUUGUCCGGAUUUAUUGGGCGUAAAGAGCGUGUAGGCGGCCAGACAGGUCCGUUGUGAAAACUCGAGGCUCAACCUCGAGACGCCGAUGGAAACCGUCUGGCUAGAGUCCGGAAGAGGAGAGUGGAAUUCCUGGUGUAGCGGUGAAAUGCGCAGAUAUCAGGAAGAACACCCGUGGCUAAGGCGGCUCUCUAGUACGGUACUGACGCUGAGACGCGAAAGCGUGGGGAGCGAACAGG